rnacentral:rRNA from 1 species
GACGAACGCUGGCGGCGUGCUUAACACAUGCAAGUCGAACGAAGUGGCGAACGGGUGAGUAACGCGUACUCAACCUGCCCUUCAGAGGGGGACAACAGUUGGAAACGACUGCUAAUACCGCAUACUGAAGGAGGGGAUUGCGUCUGGUUAGCCAGUUGGAGGGGUAACGGCCCACCCAGGCGGUGAUCAGUAGCCGGUCUGGGAGGAUGAACGGCCACGAUGGGACUGAGACACGGCCCAGACUCCUACGGGAGGCAGCCGUGGGGAAUCUUCCGCAAUGGACGAAAGUCUGACGGAGCCACGCCGCGUGAGAGAUAACGGCCUUCGGGUUGUAAAGCUCUGUUAAUCGGGACGCGGUACCGGAAGAGAAAGCAACGGCUAACUACGUGCCAGCAGCCGCGGUAAUUC